rnacentral:tRNA from 1 species
AAACUAAUUAGUUUAUAAUUAAAUCACCAUCUUGUCAAGAUAGAGUUACUAUACAUGUAGUAUUAGUGUG